UUCGUCAGAUCCGGCGAGGCAGGGCCAUGGGAAUCCCACGGAGGAAACCCUAGCCGCAUUUCCCCCAAUCCGCUCGUGUGCCUCCUCUCCGUCGCAUCUGGGGCGGCCAGCGAGAGGAUCCCCUCCUCCAUCGCUCCCCUUUUUCACUAGGCAGGGAAGAAGGUGCAGCGCCGCCGUCUUCACCGCAGGGGAGCAAGCUGACGGAUUCCAUGGCGCUGCCAUCGUCUUCAGCCUCGCGUCCAAGGCAGAGCCUACAGUACAUAACAGUAGGAGUGUGGAUCGUCCCUGCGGAGGGCAUGGGGUCUUGACUCGCAGCCUGCCGGUCACGGGCGGCCGGCGCUGCUUGGGGAGGUUUCAGCUGUGUGCGACGGCGAGCAAUUCCGAUUCAUAUAUUGCUAAGGUGAACCUUCUGCCAAAUAUUCCCCUCUGCUCAUUAUCUCUCUCUAUGCAUUGGCCAACUUACUGGCGACCAAGAUCGAGUGAAGCCUCAUGGGGAGUGGAUGUACAAUAUUCUAUACGCGAGGUCCCAGCCAUCCUACAAAUUGGUCCAUGGGCACACUCUAGGAUAACCAGAUAUGUAAUUGUAGGCUUGGAUUUUUAAUUUGAUACAAAUAAUUAAAAUGAAUGGAUAUUUAUUUAUGGCGAGACUAAAGUUUUAUUCCUGCAAAUUGGUCGAUGGGAAUACUCUAGGAAUAACCAGAUAUCUAAUUGUAGGCUUAGAUUAGUAAUUUGAUACAAAUAAUUAAAAUGAACGGAUAUUUAUUUAUGGAGAGAUUAAAGUUUUAUUUAUUCUAUAUCGUAUAUCAGAUUUCUUUAAGUUUAGUUUAGUCUUACCUAGCUAAACAUGUCAAUGUUUUUAGUAAAUUUCCUCGCGUCAAUUGGUUACAAUUUCUUACUUCCUGUCUUAUUACUUUUAUGAUUUCGUCCACGGCGGCCGGCGUCGAGCGAAGCCGCACUGGGAGUGUAUGCUUUGGUUCUGGUAAGAACUGAUGCUUACCUUGGUUUAUACUCUUAUUUCGUAUUUAUGAUAGGUGCAAUCAACGAAUCAAAAAUUUGCUCGAUGAAAGCCUGAGGUUUGCUUGUUACUUGCUUAUGUGAUGCCCCGUCCCACUUCGCCUUGCCUUAGAGCAGAUCAUUGUAACCAUGUUACCUUAAAUUAUAUGCUUGUGUUAGUUAAAAGUAGAAUUUUAGGGCCAUCGUAUGCUCCCUGCUUGUAUUUUGAAAAAUAAUUAAUAUAUUGACCACAUGCAAGAGAUAGUCCAGUGGGUGGGAUGGGAGCCCUACAAAGUUACAUAUACAAGUGAUUAUCUUCAAGCCUUAUAUGAUCAUGCAGUUGAGUUACUUGAGUUAAUACGGAAUGUACUAGCCUAUGUGGAUCACCAGGUAUUUUUCUUUUCUCCGCUAUCAUGGUACGUAUCGAGCCUUUGAGAGACAAAAUUGACAAAUUCUGAACGGUUUGAUUUAGUCCUAGAACAUACACCUUUUUUGAAAAUCUGGUUAUAUUUGUGCUUAAUUUUUUUCUUUAAUGUAUCCUUUGUUUGCCAUCCUAUCAGUAGCAGUAGCAGGACAGAGGGACAACGGUGGGGGGUGGGGUCUCUAAUGUGUCAUGCUCAACCCCGAUUCGUCUAAAAAAGGGCACAGGUCAGCAGCCAACUGCCUCCACGUUGAGGAGCAGUGCCAUCUUCUCAACUCAUCUGCGCCCAUGGUGAUGAACUCCACCGCUGACCACCAUCUAAAGAUGCCCGUGGCGCCGGCCACAUCAUCUGAGUUUGAUCUCACUACAUCGAAGCUCUCUGGAGUGACAUGGCGAUGACAGGUAGUCUCUUUUGACUGUUCACAUGCUCUGUCAGUGAGUUUCUCUCUCCAUAUAUUACAAGGAGUUGCAGGUAUGAAACUUCUAUUGUUGAGGUUCAGCCUUCUGAUUAUUGAUUCUUGUAUUGUUUCUAUAUUAUUAAGGUCUCAGUUCAGCUGUGUGUGGCAUUUCAUUGUAAUCCACUUUUUCAGUACCAAUGAUCAGUUCAGGAGAGAUGAACAUAAUAUUGAGAAAACUGGGUUCAGGAGAGAUGAACAUAAUAUUGAGAAAACUGGGAGCUACAUGCUAACAGUGAUCUUAAAUAUUUAUGUUUUCUGUACCCAUGUUCCCCUCGGCUGUUUUUGGACUACUAUGGAAUCAGUGAUUCGUGCUUGCUUUUAGUCCCAUUUAGUGUUUCAGAUGUAGCUUGAUUUACAUUUCUGGCAUUCUUAUAUGUCUGCUCUAGAUUGAUCUAUAUACUGCUUUACUUACUUUUGAUAUAAUUAGGAAGGACUCUGUGAGCGUCAUGGAGGGAAAACAUAAUGCUUGCACAUUGUCUUCUGAAUACGGCUCAUAAAUGUAGAGAUACCUUAAUGUUCGUUUGGUUUGUUGGGUAGUGUGCGUAGACUUUGCAAAUCACUGCAGUGAGCAUAGCAAUUUUCAUAGAUUUUUUUUUUUUGGAAUGACCGGUUUUGGCAUUGCAGAAGCAUUUCCUUAAAUUUUCUACAAUUCGGACAUGGACUUGAUGAUUAUGCUACCAAUCGGAUACAUCAUACAACCCCAUUAAAUAUAUCUUUGUAACUAGCUGUACCUUUCACGGUCCCUGGUUUGACGUUGUUCCCUUUUGAAAGUAGCUAUUGUUGUGGUGUCUAGGCAGUAGAGUACGAAAGUAAGACCUACAAUGACUACUACCCCUGCAUAUGUGUUGCUGCUACAGCGAGAGCAAUCGUAGGCCUAAUGGUGCAGCAAUUGAGAUUUUAUCCUAUUUCUUAGUUUCUUCUCUGCCCUGAUUUUACCCUAAUUCUUUCUUCUUUUUUAGUUAAUCCAUUCGCUUUUUGUUUAUUUUUACUGUGCUUCCAUUCACUGAUUUAAUUUCCUCUUUAUCCUUUCAUGCGUGCCUUUUCAAUUUCUACUUUCACACAUGAUCAAAAUUUUGUUUCUUUUGCUUUUUGCUUGACAUAUAUAGUUGCUUUGUUCCAUUUUCUUUGCAGGUUGUUGUCUUGCUGGAGAUUGUUGCCCGAGAGGAAACCGAGCCAACGAGACACACCACUGAUUAGCAUGUGCUUCUGAUUCUGUAUUGUCAGCACUUGUUACAUUCGGAGAAGAGAAAGAGAACAAAGUCCUAAAAUAUCAGUUCAACUUGGCUCUGUUUUUGUCAUCUAAUGCCCAUGCUCAAUCCUCACAAGUUUCGUCAUCAAACAUGGAUCCAGUGAGAGCUACUACAUGCAAAAUCCCUGGAGCCAAGCAAAAACGUAGAAAGGAAGCCAAUAUCACUGCUGCUGCUUCAAUAUUAAGUUGUAGAAGAACAAGAUGAAGAAGCAACUGCAAGCUUAUCUACUUUUACCCUAUGCUUUUCAGUGCCAGACUCGAAUGGCUGAGUAGUUGAAUUUUAGUUGAUGAUGACAAACUAUGAAUGCAUGCUUGUAUGGCUCGAAUUCUUUUGUUGAAAUUCAGUGCUAGGCUAUGGCUGGAGACAUUAACAUCA